UUGACAGGAGAGGAAAGACAGGCCAACUUUGUUAGCUGUUCGUUAGGAUAUGCUCGAGAGGACAAAAGAUUUUGCACCUCGUUAUUGUUGGACCUCUGUGUGGAAACUGCAAACGGACGUCAUAAGUGUGGUGCAUUGCUGUCCUCCUGCCCUUGCUGGCCGCGCUGACAUUGUGAUGUAGCCUCAGUUCUUUGAGAGACAAGACAAAACAGCAGGGAAUAAUUUUAUGUCUGCAAGCCGCUGGAUGAUCAGUUUGGAGGGCAAGAUAUUUUAUGAGCCUGAGCAGAUGCACGACUUUGGCAGCACCCUUGCUGUCUUCUUUGCGCCAUACUACAUUUUCAACCUUGAGUAUCAGGAGUCAGCGUCCAUCACACUGGAGAUGAUACAGAGGUUCUUUGUGAGGAUCCAGACAUGGGAACAAAAUGCCCUGCAAAACUUGGUACAAGCCGCAAGACAGGUCGUGUCGUAAAGAGGAAGGUUACAAGCAUCAGCCCUCGGAUCACCACCUUCCUCCAGCGGCUCUCUGGAGGACUUCCAACUAGGUGGUGAUGAAGACUACGCUGACUACCAUCCUGGUAACGGAAAUCUAAAUCCCAUGUCACUUUCUAUUUCCUGAGACCCACUGAUAAUUAUUACAUUUUGUAAAUGAUUUUUGUUUUACAAUUGUAAUAGUUUAUUUAAUGUUCAUGCUGGUGGGUUUGUCCUGUUUUUAGUGGAAUGAAAAACUGUUUUCCUUAAAAAAAUCAGACACAGAAAGGUGAAGGACUGUGUAGU